rnacentral:rRNA from 1 species
GGGAACAUUGCAUAAUGGGCGAAAGCCUGAUGCGGCAACGCCGCGUGCGCGAUGAAGGCCUUCGGGUCGUAAAGCGCUUUUCGAGGGGAUGAGGAAGGACAGUACCCUCGGAAUAAGUCUCGGCUAACUACGUGCCAGCAGCCGCGGUAAAACGUAGGAGGCAAGCGUUAUCCGGAUUUACUGGGCGUAAAGCGCGUGCAGGCGGUUUGGCAAGUUGGAUGUGAAAGCUCCUGGCUAAACUGGGAGAGGUCGUUCAAAACUGCCAGACUUGAGGACGGGAGAGGGAGGUGGAAUUCCGGGUGUAGUGGUAAAAUGCGUAGAUAUCCGGAGGAACACCAGUGGCGAAAGCGGCCUCCUGGACCAUUCCUGACGCUCAGACGCGAAAGCUAGGGUAGCAAACG